ensembl:lncRNA
AGUGGACUAUAUAUAGAGAAUAGGGCCCUGGUAAUGUAGUGGACUACAUAUGGGGAAUAGGGCCCUGGUAAGGUAGUGGACUAUAUAGGGCCCUGGUAAGGUAGUGGACUAUAUAUAGAGAAUAUGGCCCUGGUAAUGUAGUGGACUAUAUAUAGGGAAUAGGGCCCUGGUAAGGUAGUGGACUAUAUUUAGGGAAUAGGGCCCUGGUAAGGUAGUGGACUAUAUAGUUACUUUACUUGACAUUUAAAUGUAAAACUUGAGUCGGGCAUACCAACUGGGCUACAACAUAUGGUACCAAAUGGUUACUUUACCAUCUCUAAAUGGGUUGUAAAAUGGGCUAUCUGCUGUGAAUAUGGUCAGGGAUUGUCUCUGGGACUACUGGGUCAUGUAUGUGAGGGACCCAGAACGAACCUGAAUACUGUUUUAAUUAACUGUUAAAAGACGGCAACUAAUGAAAUGUGGGGAAGCUAAAAUAAAC